rnacentral:rRNA from 1 species
GGGGAAUAUUGGACAAUGGGCGAAAGCCUGAUCCAGCCAUGCCGCGUGGGUGAAGAAGGCCUUCGGGUUGUAAAGCCCUUUUGUUGGGAAAGAAAACUUUCCGGCUAAUACCCGGAGAGAAUGACGGUACCCAAAGAAUAAGCACCGGCUAACUUCGUGCCAGCAGCCGCGGUAAUACGAAGGGUGCAAGCGUUACUCGGAAUUACUGGGCGUAAAGCGUGCGUAGGUGGUUCGUUAAGUCUGAUGUGAAAGCCCUGGGCUCAACCUGGGAAUUGCAUUGGAUACUGGCGGGCUAGAGUACGGUAGAGGGUGGCGGAAUUCCUGGUGUAGCAGUGAAAUGCGUAGAGAUCAGGAGGAACACCCGUGGCGAAGGCGGCCACCUGGACCAGUACUGACACUGAGGCACGAAAGCGUGGGGAGCAAAC